GCUAGGCACAGUGGCUAACACCUGCAAUCUCAUCACUUUGGGAGACUGAGGCAGGAGGAUCACUUACGCCCAGGAGUUCAGCACUAAACCUGGAUAACAUAGCAAGACCCUGUCUCUUGGGAUGGUUUGCUGAACCCGUUAGUACGCCCGGCCAAGACACGCCGCCGCCAUGUCUCGCUACCUGCGUCCCCCUAACACAUCUCUGUUCGUCAGGAACGUGGCCGACGACACCAGGUCUGAAGAUUUACGGCGUGAAUUUGGUCGUUAUGGUCCUAUAGUUGAUGUGUAUGUUCCACUUGAUUUCUACACUCGCCGUCCAAGAGGAUUUGCUUAUGUUCAAUUUGAGGAUGUUCGUGAUGCUGAAGAUGCUUUACAUAAUUCAGACAGAAAGUGGAUUUGUGGACGGCAGAUUGAAUACAGUUUGCCCAGGGGGAUCGGAAGACACCAAAUCAGAUGAAAGCCAAGGAAGGGAAGAAUGUGUACAGUUCUUCACACUAUGAUGAUUAUAACAGAUACAGACAUUCAAGAAGCCGAAGUUACGAAAGAAGGAGAUCAAGAAGUCGGUCUUUUGAUUACAACUAUAGAAGAUUGUAUAGUCCUAGAAAUAGACCGACUGGAAGACCACGGCGUAGCAGAAGCCACUCCGACAAUGAUAGACCAAACUGCAGCUGGAAUACCCAGUACAGUUCUGCUUACUACACAUCAAGAAAGAUCUGAAAGCAGAAAAAGAACCAAAGAAGGGCAGUUCAAGCGACCAAAGGGUGGGUGGAAGGUGCUGCAGUAUGAAUACUGUACGAAUAUUUUGACUCUGGUCUGAAAAGAUAAAAGAAUGUUAUCGAAAACUACAUGGAAUAAUUGAAGUCCCUUCAAGUUUGAAAGUAAGCAUUUUAGGACAAAUAAAAGGAAAUUCAACUUUGUACUUGUGGAAACUAAUCCCUAAAUAUGAAUAGGUUUAUAUUGAUUCAUGGGUACCAGAUCCAUAACAAAUUAUUGGAAAAUAGGAUGUCUGAAUAUCAAGGAAGACAGCCAUAGUCUCUUACAGUGCCUCUGUUGGUCUGUCUCAAACUGAAUUGGGUGGGAAAAGGUAUGGUCCAAUAUAAAAGUUCCAUUUUUGCCAUUAUUGGCAAAUCUUGCCUUUGUUUAUUUUGGUGCCAGUGUUUUCUGCUUAAUCAUUUGCUUUGUUGGCAUCUGCAUUUAUUUACUUGUACACCACAUGGCAGUUUACAUCUUCCUUAACUACUCUCCUUCCCAGGUAAAUUCGAAUUACAUUUGACAUCCAGCUAAGAGGGCCCAUCUCUUCUCACCUCUUUACUAGUCAAUAUGUUCAGCAAAUAUUUAUUGAGCCCUUACUAUGGGCAAAUCAUUGUACUGGAUAAUUGAGGAGAAAAAUAGAUAAUUCCCUUAUUCGGUGAAUGUCUACCGAGCACAAUCUAGUGAAUCAUUACAGUAUCACCUCGUUGUUUUGUUUGAGGUAUAUUAUUCGUAACAAUAUUUUACACCAUUCAUAUCAAUGUAAUUAUAGAACCCAAUGUGCUAUCAAGAAUAAGUAAUUAUGUGGUUAUUCUGGCAUUUAAAAGUAUCCAGUAUUUGUUUGAUCCCAAUAUUACAAAUAAUGAAAAAAUGAUUUGUUUUAAUCUGUAAUAAACUGGUUUAUUGUGCAGUGACUGUAAUAUACUAGAGUUAUAUUAAAGUGCUCACUCUGCCUCACCAAACACAUACUAGGAAAUAACCCCCAAAAUAAGUAUUUAACUUUGCAUUAGAUAUAAAGGAUACUGGGUGCUAUAAUUAGAUUAUUUUGAGGCAGACAGCUGUUAUCCCAACUCAUUUAGUGUGUUCUGUAAUUGAAAAAAUGUUCACCAAAUUAUACUUUUUAGUGAUUUACAUGUACAUUUUAUAGGGGACGUGUUCUGUGUAUAGUGAAUAAAUAACUUUUAUAGUAUCACGAAAUGUUUUAGAUUCCUUAGUUUCUUAUUAGGAUGUUUCUUUACCUAUACAUUGAUUCCAUCAUGUUUGACUUUUGUCUUCUUUUUGCCACAUAUUUAAAACUUUCCAUGUAAAAUUAUUAACAAAAAAUCUGGAAGUGGAGUUUAAGCUUUUAAUUUAUAGCAAUUUUGAAAAUACAGCAGAGGUAUAUUUUCAAGGGAGGUAUGAAAUGGUACUUUUGUCUGUAUUUUAUUUUAUAAUUUUUUUUGAACUUGCCCAGGAUCACACAGCAAGUGUCAGAUCUUAGGUUAAAGUCCAAAAUUUUUUCACAUGCUUCAUCUUUUGUUAUAUUUUUGUUGUUGUUUAAUCAAACGGGGAAAUGUUUUUAUAUCUUUAUUUUCAUGGAGAUAGCAAAAUUGAUAUAAUGGGAACUAGAAUUUACUUAGAGCCAAAAUGACUAGAUUUAAUUACAAAAAGUAUUUUGUUGUAUACAGUUACACACUCAUUAACAUAGUGGGUGGUUCUUAUGGAUAGAGGUUCUCUGUAUUUUUAAAAGAAUACGUAGAGUUCAUAAACGUUUUUUGCCCUCUACCUCCCUUCUUUCUCCAUUUCCUUUUGAAUUAAGACAUUUAAGGGGGAGAGUUAAGUUGCAUAUUGAGUUGGGAUUUUGUUUAAAAAUAGGUGAAUACAUAUAUAAAUACAAUAACAAUAGUUGGUAGUUCUCUAAAAUAUUGUAAGUCAGAAAAGGACCUUUAAUUUUUGUAUCUGUUGAAUGAAUUGCUUUCGGAUCUCUUCUGUGGUUGUUUCUCUUUAUAUUGAAUGCUGUCAAUAUUGUUGAGGACUUAGUGUGCCAAACCAUGUGCUUUUCAAAUAUUUAAUUCUAAAAACACUCCUGGGAAGUGGGUAUUAUUCCCAUUUUACAGAUGAGAAAAUUGUCCCACCGUGUGAUAGCAUCUUGCAUAUGUUCAUUCCUCACAACUUUACAAGGUAAAUGGAUAAUGUUCCUGGGUGAGAGAUUAAAUAUAAUCCAAGAUCUCACGGCUGUGUGGCUCAGAGACUCUAAGCAUGGCUUUCCAAAUCUCAUUCUCUUGUAGAGAUUUUCCAUUGUAUUGCAUUUUGACCAUAUUCUUGUUUACAAAACCUAAGAAUAUAUUCGGGAGGCUGUGACUUGAGCAAUAGCUUAGGAAUAAUCUAAUGGCAUUUUAAUAGGAAGGAGGACUAGCAAAACCUGUAGAAGUCCCAGGCAUGAACUGUGGUCAUUUUAGAUAGGAUGACUUGAUAAAUAGGGUGAAGUGAGCAACGUGUUUUGUCUUCAGUUAUUGAUACCUACAAGACAUUCUGCUGGUCACUGUGGAAAAGGUUCCUUCUCAGAUUUUUUCCUCUGCUCCUUCCUCUAACAGUGUUGGUUAUCUUUAUUAUGUUUCUGUGUAUUUGUAACAGCUAUUACACCCUUGUAUUGCACAAUGGGGAUUUUUCUUGGAAUAAAAAGUGAGGCAUGUAAACUCA